rnacentral:rRNA from 1 species
GACGAACGCUGGCGGCGUGCUUAACACAUGCAAGUCGAACGGAAAGGCCCUGCUUUUGUGGGGUGCUCGAGUGGCGAACGGGUGAGUAACACGUGAGUCACCUGCCCUUGACUUUGGGAUAACUUCAGGAAACUGGUGCUAAUCCCGGAUAGGAGCUCCUGCUGCAUGGUGGGGGUUGGACCGUUUCGGCGGUUGGGGAUGGACUCGCGGCUUAUCAGCUUGUUGGUGGGUUACUGGCUUACCAAGACGUUGACGGGUAGCCGGCCUGCGAGGGUGACCGGCCACAUUGGGACUGAGAUACGGCCCAGACUCCUACGGGCGGCAGCAGUGGGGAAUAUUGCACAAUGGGCGGAAGCCUGACGCAGCAACGCCGCGUGCGGGAUGACGGCCUUCGGGUUGUAAACCGCUUUCGCCUGUGACGAAGCGUGAGUGACGGUAAUGGGUAAAGAAGCACCGGCUAACUACGUG